rnacentral:rRNA from 1 species
GACGAACGCUGGCGGCGCGCUUAACACAUGCAAGUCGAACGGAAAGGCCUGCUUUCCCUUGUGGAUUGCGGGUACUCGAGUGGCGAACGGGUGAGUAACACGUGAGUGAUCUGCCCCCAACUUGGGUAUAAGCCUGGGAAACUGGGUCUAAUUCCCGAUAGGACUGCAGGGUGUGCCUGUGGUGGAAAACGAUUUUCUAGUGGUUGGGGAUGAGCUCGCGGCCUAUCAGCUUGUUGGUGGGGUAAUGGCCUACCAAGGCGGCGACGGGUAGCCGGCCUGAGAGGGUGGACGGCCUCAUUGGGACUGAGAUACGGCCCAGACUCCUACGGGAGGCAGCAGUGGGGAAUAUUGCACAAUGGGCGGAAGCCUGAUGCAGCGACGCCGCGUGGGGGAUGACGGCCUUCGGGUUGUAAACUCCUUUCGACCGCGAGGAAGCCACCUGGUUGGAAGGGUGGUGACGGUAGUGGUAGAAGAAGCACCGGCUAACUACGUG